rnacentral:rRNA from 1 species
AAUGGAGGAAACUCUGAACCAGCCAUGCCGCGUGCAGGAAGACGGCCUCUGGGUUGUAAACUGCUUUUAUUAGGGAAGAAACGCUCCAUGCGUGGAGAACUGACUGUACCUAAAGAAUAAGCACCGGCUAACUCCGUGCCAGCAGCCGCGGUAAUACGGAGGGUGCAAGCGUUGUCCGGAAUUAUUGGGUUUAAAGGGUGCGUAGGCGGUCUUUUAAGUCAGAGGUGAAAUCCCACAGCUUAACUGUGGAACUGCCUUUGAUACUGGAAGACUUGAGUAUAGUUGAGGUAGGCGGAAUUUAUGAUGUAGCGGUGAAAUGCAUAGAUAUCAUAAAGAACACCGAUUGCGAAGGCAGCUUACUGGACUAUAACUGACGCUGAGGCACGAAAGCGUGGGGAGCGAACAGGAUU